rnacentral:sRNA from 1 species
AUCGAAAAAUAGCCGAAUUCCGCAUGUCGGAAACGGGGGAACCAGUUUUUUGGGGUGAAUAGUUGCGUUAGGCAACUUAGGGCGUCCUUUCGACCGAACCCUUCAGCUAACUUCGUAGGCUCACGAAAGGAGCA